UUCCCCAUUGAAUGCUACAUGUACAAAGUAGCUUGACAAAGGAGGGUUACAAAGUGACGUGUACGGUUCAGAUUUAAGAGCACUGGACGGCUGAGAUUUUGGCAGUUAUCUUACUGACCCAUUCAGAAAUUCAAACACCAUUUCCUCCCAUUUGUGAUCAAUUUUCACAUUGCUUGUUUCAUCGACGAAUCCGGCCUCUAGUCCAUCUUCUCCAUCUCCGAAAUCGGGUACGGUGUGAAUUUUUGGUUGAAGCUCCCGACGUCGUCCCACUCCAAAUCAAAAGUGGAAAGAUAAAAUAAAAAUACCUACCAGAGCUAUACAUACAACCUCCUGUGAGAAGGGUUCUAAAUGUUGGGGAAAUAUGGGUUAUUUUCGGUUGGUGGCUAAUGGUGGAAUGGAUUCAGUUUGCAUCUUCUUUAGUUAGUUUGCAUCCUCUGCAAUCCCUUUGGCGACCCGAACGUUAUUGGUGACUCUUACUGCACUCUCUUUGUAGGCCGUCUCUCUCCCCUCACAACUGAAGACACUUUCUGCCAGGUGAUGAGCAAAUAUAGAAGGGUCAAGAACUUGUGGCCGGUCAGAUAUAUAGAUAUCGUCUAUCUUAAUAUACAGAUAUACGAGACGAAUGAGACGUCGAGAUUUCAGUGAACGUGACAUUUCACAAUGAGAAAGGAUGUGCAGAGGAGUUUGGGAAAGGAAAGGACCCAACACAGCGUGUUUAGUAGUUUGUUGUCGAACGAGUUGUAAUUGCGUUGUGUUCGUUUUGUAUUUGCUAUCGAGAAAUGGUGUUUUGAGAGCAACUAAGUAUUUGGCAGAUGUUUACAAGAAUAGCUCUGCACCAUUUUUAUAACUGUUGUAUGUGUUUUAUUUUUAUUCCUUGAAGCCUAAAGAAUUUAA